rnacentral:rRNA from 1 species
UACAGAGGUCUCGAGCGUUAGGCGGAAUCACUGGGCUUAAAGCGUGUGUAGGCGGAUUGGUAAGUACCUUGUGAAAUCCCACGGCUUAACCGUGGAACUGCUGGGUAUACUGCUUGUCUUGAGCCACUUAGGGGCAACUGGAACAAACGGUGGAGCGGUGAAAUGCGUAGAUAUCGUUUGGAACGCCAAUGGUGAAAACAGGUUGCUGGGAGUGUGCUGACGCUGAGACACGAAAGCCAGGGGAGCAAACGGG